AACUGGAGUCCAUUCGGCAAGACAGA
rnacentral:piRNA from 1 species